UACGUAGGGGGCAAGCGUUGUCCGGAAUUAUUGGGCGUAAAGAGCGUGUAGGCGGUCCGGUAAGUCGGCUGUGAAGGUCCAGGGCUCAACCCUGGGAUGCCGGUCGAUACUGCCGGACUAGAGUUCGGAAGAGGCGAGUGGAAUUCCCGGUGUAGCGGUGAAAUGCGCAGAUAUCGGGAGGAACACCUAUGGCGAAGGCAGCUCGCUGGGACGUUACUGACGCUGAGACGCGAAAGCGUGGGGAGCAAACAGG
rnacentral:rRNA from 1 species